rnacentral:rRNA from 1 species
AGUAAUGCAUAGAAUCUGCCCGGUUGUGGAGGGAUAACCUGAGGAAACUCAGGCUAAUACCGCAUACGCCCUACGGGGGAAAGCAGGGGAUCUUCGGACCUUGCGCUAUCGGAUGAGCAUAUGUCGGAUUAGCUUGUUGGUGAGGUAAUGGCUCACCAAGGCCGCGAACCGUAGCUGGUCUGAGAGGAUGAUCAGCACAUCGGGACUGAGACACGGCCCGAACUCCUACGGGAGGCAGCAGUGGGGAAUAUUGGACAAUCGGCGAAAUGCCUGAUCCAGCCAUGCCGCGUGUGUGAAGAAGGCCUUCCGGUUGUAAAGCACUUUCAGUGAGGAAGAACGCCUCUGGGCUAAUACCCCAGAGGGAAGACAUCACUCACAGAUGAAGCACCGGCUAACUCCGUGCCAGCAGCCGCGGUUAUACGGAGGGUGCGAGCGUUAAUCGGAAUUACAGGGCGUAAAGCGCGCGUAGGCGGCGUGAUAAGCCGGAUGUGAAAGCCCGGGCUCAACCUGGGAACGGCAUCCGGAACUGUCAGCCUAGAGUGCAGGAGAGGUAAGGUAGAAUUCCCGGUGUAGCGGUGAAAUGCGUAGAGAUCGGGAGGAAUACCAGUGGGGAAGGCGGCCUU